UCCAGACUCCUACGGGAGGCAGCAGUAGGGAAUCUUUCACAAUGGGCGAAAGCCUGAUGGAGCAACGCCGCGUGCAGGAUGAAGGCCUUCGGGUUGUAAACUGCUUUUAUAAGCGAGAAAUAUGAUGGUAACUUAUGAAUAAGGAUCGGCUAACUACGUGCCAGCAGCCGCGGUAAUACGUAGGGGGCAAGCGUUAUCCGGAUUUACUGGGUGUAAAGGGAGCGUAGACGGCGACACAAGUCUGAAGUGAAAGCCCGGGGCUCAACCCCGGGACUGCUUUGGAAACUGUGUUGCUGGAGUGCUGGAGAGGCAAGCGGAAUUCCUAGCGUAGCGGUGAAAUGCGUAGAUAUUAGGAAGAACACCAGUGGCGAAGGCGGCUUGCUGGACAGUAACUGACGUUGAGGCUCGAAAGCGUGGGGAGCAAACAGGAUUAGAUACCCUCGUA
rnacentral:rRNA from 1 species